rnacentral:rRNA from 1 species
CGCCUCCCUCCGCCGCCACUCAGACUCCGUACGGAGGCGAGCGAGGUAGGGGAAGUUAGUUAGGAACGAAGUAGGGACGGAAACGACCUAGAUCCAGCAAUGCCGCGUGGAUGAAGAAGGUACUUCGGAUUGUAAGUCCUUCGGCGGGACGAGUGAUGACGGUACCGCAGAAGAAGCCCGGCUAACUUCGUGCCAGCAGCCGCGGUAAUUC